GAUAAACGCUGGCGGCGCACAUAAGACAUGCAAGUCGAACGGAAGUCGUUACGAAAUGGAAUGAAGAUUUAUCUGAUUGAAGUUUUGUAACAAUGGCUUUAGUGGCGGACUGGUGAGUAACACGUAAGCAAUCUACCUAUUAGAGGGGAAUAACAAUGAGAAAUCAUUGCUAAUACCGCAUAAGCUUGUAGUACCGCAUGGUACAGCAAGAAAAGGAGCAAUCCGCUAAUAGAUGAGCUUGCGGCUGAUUAGCUAGUUGGUGUGGUAACGGCAUACCAAGGCAACGAUCAGUAGCCGGGCUGAGAGGCUCUUCGGCCACAUUGGGACUGAGAUACGGCCCAGACUCCUACGGGAGGCAGCAGUCGGGAAUUUUGCGCAAUGGAGGAAACUCUGACGCAGUGACGCCGCGUAUAGGAAGAAGGUUUUCGGAUUGUAAACUAUUUUAGUCAGGGAAGAAAAAUGACAGUACCUGAAGAAUAAGCUCCGGCUA
rnacentral:rRNA from 1 species